UUUUGUGCACACUGAACACGUUUCGUGCAAAAUCCUUGAUUCUAGGGCCUUCUAAGAUGUUACUUGACUAACUCAUUCUAAAAGAAAGAUUUGGAAUGCUUUUUAAGGGAGGUAUCAUGUUCUUAGUUAUUGGAAACAACAUAAAUUCAAAUGAACUUUAAAUUUUAAUUUUUUUUUGGCUCAAAAGUUGGAGGAUGCAGCUGCCUCCUCCGCCUCCAUGUAAUUUACGGCCCUGGACCCAUAUUUACUAAAGUUCGUAGACGUAGACGUAAACGUAGGAUUUACGUCUGACUUAAGAUUAGAGUUACGUACUCGUGAAAUGGUAUUUACAAAACCGUUCGUAGCCGCAAACGUAACUUACGAUGUACGAUUGCACUUACGCGUGCGCAAUGGCUAUUUUCACUUCGACGCGUAAAAAGUGUGAAUUUGCUCAUUUACUUUGAUUUCCCUGCGCUACCGCCGCAUUAUGACGGAAAAGAACACAGAACUUUGUGAGAAAGCAACGAAUUUCAACGUAUACGUAUGCCUGCCAACGGCAUGUCGAUCAACUGUACCGUUAUUCAGUGUUGUUUACAAAUCCAAAUGGAAGGUUCAUCAAAUUUAACGCAUUUGACUUGUGCAUGGAUCUGCGAUGCUGUAGGUGUUCAAAAAGAAGUCGGCAUGGACUGUCAAGUAAGUUAAGUUGUUUGUGUAGUAAUAACCUUAAAUGUUUUACCACUGACUACUCGUCACUAGGCCCCUAAAUAAUGUUAAAUUGACUUCAAGGGGAUUCAGUACAUGACACACAUGGUAAAAUCACAGUCCCUUAUUCAUUUUGUUCUCAACCUAUGUAGCUGCUAUAAUGCCUGGAUCUUAAUUUCUAAAUAGUGAGCACAUAUACAUAUGUGUUAGUUAUUUACAAUUUGAUAUGUGCCCACUAUUAACACAUUAAGACACAAGCUCAUUUGUGUACAUGGUAACUUCAAACUUUUGACAAUACCACAAUUGAAAUUCAAAAUAAAUUAUUUAUCCCAUUUUUUAAAUUUCAUGACUGGGACAACAUCAAAGCAGUAUCAUAGCUACCUGUACACAAGUACGCACAUGCUUUCACAUCAUUUCGCAAAAAGAAAAACAAGAAUAUUGGUGAAAAAUGAAUCUAAAAUAUACAUUAUAUAUACAGGCACUAAUUCUAAAAUGUGUGAUUUGUACGUGCCCCUCUAUUGCAUGGUUAUAAAAUAUGAAAAUUAUUAUUGCUUUAACAAUAUAUACUCUGGGCGAACAGGUAGAUAGGGUGAAUGGACCAGAUGAGAACAGUUACAGUCUCUUUUAGCAUCAUUUUAAUUAUUGCUUGUGCACAUCCAUGUGCAAAACUUUCAGAAAAUAUUGUGAAACAAAAUCGCAUUCAAAUACAGUUGUACAACUGUGUGAAGUCAGUGUUAAUUUAUUUAAUGUAGAAUAACAUUGACUAUAUAUUAAUUGGAGAUAUUAGGUGUGAUAUACAUGUAACAUGCACUAGAUAUCCAAGUUAGCUGACCUCUGUUAUUUUUCAAAGGGUCAUAAAGUCAAGAAAUAAAUUGCCAACAGACAGCAGCAUUCCUUGAUUUAGAUGCAUUUCUCUUCAUGUCCUCUCCUGAAAGAUUUUCCAUGAUGCCUCAGGGUUAGGAUUGGGAUGCAAGAUGUACAGUACAUAUAUAUGAUGUCUAUGGGUACAUUGCUGUAAUGGCCUGAAAAAUCUUUUGUGAAACCGAGAAAUGUUCAUCUUCCAUUGCCUUGAUUGUGUAAAAGGACGAACAGAGGAAUGAUUCAAAAAUAUAUGGCAGGAUUGAGAAUCUAACCCAUGACCCGUAGUCUGGUACUCUACCCACUGAUCAAUCCAUGCUGAUGGUCCAUCUGCUACAUUUAUGUCAUCUUAUAUAUUUAUUUAUUCAUUUAUAUCAUAUGGACAUUUAAAAAUUGACAGUAAAAUAAAAAAAAAGUUUGAUAUUCAGCAAAAUAGAAUUUGUUACAAUACAUGUUUAAGAAAUUAAGUACAUGUAUAUGCAUUGUUAUGCAUACAAUUAUGUACAUGUAAUUGUAUUUGUUAAUAGAUAACUUUUUAGAUGAAUUUUCAUGUUGUUAUUGAUAUUGACAUGUACAUGUAUUACUUCCAUUUCUAGAAUGAUUUUAACACCUUGAUAUUAAAAAGAUGACAUAAUAAAUAAAUCUUAAAUAUUUGUCAACAAAGUUGUGUGGUGGGUUAAAAUUUGUAAAGAGGAGCAUUAGUACAUAUGUCGGUUUAAUGUGAGAAGCCUUCAGAAUGAACUUUUAUCAGUGAGAUUUUUGUAAAUUGGAGGGGGGGGGGGGAUGGACUUCAACAAAAUAAUAUGUAUGUUGAAGGCAUCAGCCUUGGAGUUUGGUAAUAUACACUGCAAAGACUUUUACCGAGCUGAUCACAUAUAAAGGUCAAUUACAUACAAAUCAUGAAUGGUAGAAAGAUUCAUAUAUAUGCAUUAUCAAUGAAGGUUUGACUCCUGUAGGAUUAUAGUUAAAGGAAAUGGCACUCUGAAAGAUUGAAAGUCUACACAUGACUACACUAGUAGGCAUCACAAUUGCUCUCUGAAACAAAUUACACAAAAUUGUAUUCUUGGGAUGAAAUGCAUAACUUUUUUUUUAAGAAAUAUUUAUUUAGAGGCUCAUUUCCCUGUUGUGUAAGUUACAAUGUAACAAAUAGUUAUUUGGACUACCAAUAUUUGCUUAUAACCACAAAGAAAAGAUCACAUAUCUAUAAGUAGAAAUAGUUUUCUAUAGCUGUCAAUCACCAUGUAUUCUUGUACACACAAUGACUCCCUUCUUUUCAAAUCUAAAACAUUGCAUGUUUGAUUGCAUAUAUAUACAUUAAUUCUACCAUGUUUGGAAAAUUAAAAAAAAUGUAUUUCCCUGAAAGAUGCUAGACCUACCCUAUAUAAUAAGAUAAAUGGCAAAUAUUCUUCUUCUUUUUAAAUAACUUGCAUGACUAAAAUAAAAAGCUUCCCAAUUAUUUCUAAAGGCAAGGUUAGAUCCACCCAGUCUGAUUAAAGUCAAAUUUCGCACUUUGCUCGAUAUACGGACAGCGACUGUCCGUAUAUCGAGCGAAGUGAGAGGUUUGAUUUUAAAUCAGACUGAGAUCCGCCACGAGGUAAAUUAGAUCGGGCUCAAAAUUUAGAGAAUUGUCACACAAUUGCAGAUGAUCUCAAAGAAAACGAUAAUCUGAAUAAAUACAAUUAAUUUGUGUAUUACUAACCAGCUUAUAUGCAUCUAGAGGGUUUGUAAGGUCUUUACGCAAGAUAUUAUCGAUAAAAAUGACAAGUCGCCAUUUGCUUUGUUUAUUCUUAAAGUUACGAUCAGCUUACGUGUACUAGUAUAGCACACGUAGAGUUACGCUUAUUUCUGACGUAAAUCUACGUCUACGACUGUUAGUGAAUACCGUCCCACACGUAAACGUACACUACGUCUAGAUUUACGCUACGUUUACGUCUACGAACUUUAGUAAAUAUGGGCCCUGGUUUUACGGUUUGAGACAUAUCAUAGUAUAAACCUGUCCUGAUCCUGUGAAUAGUACUACUAACUGGCAUUAUGUAAUAGGUCUGUGGAAGAAAUUAAGAAGCAGGAUAGAGACAGUAAGGAUCAGGUUCAAGGACACAAGUAAAAGGCAAAAAACAAAUAAGUAAAACAUCCCCUCACUUAGGAGGGACUCAAUUCCAGCUUUGUAUUGGGAGUUGUAUCCCAGAAAAAUAAAUACAAUCAUGAUAGUUAGGAAAAAAACAUAUAUACAGUUAUGAAACACCUAGUGAAAAUUAUUCAAUCUAUAUGUUGUUAUAAUUCACAUAAUUCUGAAAAUUGUCGGACAGUGAAAUAUCACCACCUUUCUAGUAACGCAUGCGCAUCGAAGGUUAAUGCGUAUUCGUUUUAUUCAAUUAUAUGUUGUAAUAAAAUGAACCAGUAAACAAAACAUGAAGGUAAUAGAGAAAUAUUUGUUUGCAAAUUGACUUUUACGUGUACAGUACCAGCAACGUUAUUCUUGACAUGAUAAACGAUAGAACACGAUACACGCACGAUAGGAUAGGAUGCACGCACGAUAGGAUAGGAUACACGCACGAUACGAUAGGUUAAACGGUAAACCUGAUAAACGCUAAAUUUAGAAGCAAUUUAGACAGAACGAAAUUUUGAUAGCUACAAUCAAAUUCUGUUUGGCCGCUCACAUUUGGUGGCCUUUGUAUUUUUGAUGUGCCAUCUUUUUGCUGUAGACCUAAUCAAUUUUAUAAUUUUUGCAUAUAUUGUUCUUCCGUAAAUUUAGGGGAUCAGCAGAUUGAUAUGUCAUUAUGUAUUGUGUGAAUAGUUUUUGGUCUGAUCCCCUUAUUAUAUUAUGUAUAUAUUUUUCCUUAUUUGCGUCAUUUGAAUAAAUGACAUAUUUCAUCUCUACAGUAGUGUUGAUGUUAUUGAUCUAAACUCAGCAAAAACGGAGCUGCGGUGAGUUUGUGCAGCAUGAGGAAACAUGAAUAUAAUUACAAUAUAUGUUGUUAAUGAUAUCAAAGGAUUUCAAUAUUCAUUACAUACCUAACACGUUUAUCCAAAAGAAAUUUCUAAUUGGAAGGUAAUGCAUGUGUGUGCAUAAAAAAUAACAACAUUUUCCCCGUAAUUUCUGUAAUAAACAAUGCGCUUUUCAAAGAUCAAUAAUUGUUUCAUCUGUCGCAACUGGUAAUUCUAAUUGAAUAUGAGCAUUGACUGACUUCAACAUGAAACAUUCACCACAAGUAGAAAAUAAAAAAGUCUUUAUCGUACGCGUAAGCAAUAGCAAAUAAAAUUCUUGCCAGUGGAAAUAGCGUAAGUUGGAAACGCAUUCAUUCAUUUGAGGGCAAACUUAUAUCUUUCAAUGUAUUUCUUUACGCAUUUACUAGAUAAAGAUCUGCGCAAGCAUAGAAAAUUGAAUUUGAGCUGGAGAUUUUGAAGAAUUCAUACAUGAAGUUUUCAAGUUGAGACAAAACAUGCGGACAGCAAUCACUAUAGUGAAAACUGGAGCACCCAUCCGUUUUAGUUUUAAAAUGCUGUAUUCUUUUUAAAAUUUUGAAUUAUGUUGACUGCGUAAUGGAGGUGUUGGAACCGGGGUGUGCAUGAUAAAGCCCCUACCCUGUUUGCAAAACGUAUAUUAAUCAACGACUUAGCUACCUCUCCCACUUUAGUUACAUCCCCUUUUUAACUCCGUACAUUAAUCAACGAAACUAGUUCUCUUCUGUUCGAUACCCGUACAACUAUACGCCCAUUAGGAGGAUCUACAGAGGUGUGAAAUUAUAAGCCCAACAAUGAGAGAGAGAGAGAGAGAGAGAGAGAGAGAGAGAGAGAGAGAGAUGGUAAGUAAUCACCUCUAGCUUUCGUGAAACAUGGAUGUUGAGUGUGUUUUAAUACAAAAUUCAAACGGUAAACAUAUUGCAAACUGGAUAAUUCUAUCUGUGUGUCACCAAUAAGCAUGGGAGUAUGGUUAUAGGAACGUGUCCAUAGGAUCCAUUUCACAUGAAAGUACGUUAGCCAGAAGCACAUUUUAACCUUGUCUCUGUUUUCGUACAAAAAAAAUUCUACACUUGCAAUAAAAAAUUCAAAAAUUUUAAAAAUGGCAUUCCCUAUGUGUAUGUUGGAAUUUCUUUGAAAUAAUCGGAAGAAUUUGAAUAUCGUUUAUAAGGUGAUGGCAUUACAAUGGGGCAUUCUAAAUUUGCUCAUUGGAAAAAAACAACAACCAACAACAUUGUAAUCCACGGCCGUACUGGGUUUUUCUAUAUUUAUAAUUCUAUUUUUUUAAAAAAAAUUUUUUUUACAUCAUCACAGCGGAAA